GCGCGGGAGGCUGUCGGCCAGAGUCCCCGCCACGCUGCCUGCCGGCGUCGCGUUGGGGCCGAGGACACACCCCCUGGGGCCCGGUUAGGGCUCUGUCCUCCGGCGCCCCUUUCCCCGUUAUGGCAAUGGCUUCUCGCUGCCGAAAUAGCGAAGCUAGCCUUUGGGCUGGGAGCGUGCUGGCUCCUCCUAACUUGUAGGGCUGUUUGUGCGUGACCUUGGGCAGGGUGCAAACAGAGGUGACAGAGAGGGACCAGUUCUCAUCCUGGAGUCCCUGUAUCUCCCGAGCUUCCUUCUUUGGUUUUCUCUUGGCUCACGCUCAAAGGUGAUUCCCUCCGAACCCAGAGCACCUGCUUUGUUGCAUACAAAGCUACCUCUGUCUGUCCUGGGCCUGGAUCUACCUUGGGGUCGAAAAGAAAGGCCUUUUAAGUGGGUGCAUGUGCAGAGGAGAGUUAUGGUCCCGAAAGACUCACCAGAUUGCCAGUAGAGACCGUCUUCUUUCCCUAAAGCUUCCUUUCCUCCCCUCCCCCAAUGCUUUCAGAGUAGAUUAACUAAUUACCUCCAAUUAAAGCGGCUUGAUCUCUGUUCCUCCUGGGCUUCAACACUGCCCCUAGGACUCUUCCUAGGCAGCCUCGGUCUGAAAGGGGACCUGGCCACUUAGGUGGAUCAGUGAAUCAGUUACAUAAUGCAGAGGGCCACAAAGGAAGCCCACCGGGUCAUGUGCUUCACGGGGAGUGGUGCAGCCGAGCCUAGUUCUCUGACUCUGUCGGGUUUCAGGCCCUAAUGGGUCUGUUGGCGUCAGGAGCUGUCUUCUUUGGAGCCCUUCCCUAAGUGUAUCUGUAGGACUUUGUUCUUUCCGGCACUUCGUACUGGCCAGCAGAGGGCGCUACCCAAGGACUGAGGACACCAGGGAAGAGCUCACUGAGUGCAGGCUGGCCUGUCUCCACCAGCGGACUGGAAGAUCUAAUGGAAACCAGGAAGGAAUGGUGUUUGUGUUGGCAUCCAUGGGCCCUGUAGCCCUGCCAACUCCCACAGCAUGUGACAUUGUCAGGGGACUGGAGGUGUGAAGCAGAAGUCACCCGGAGAGGAUCAUGCUGCUGCCUGCUUCCAGUCACAUCAUAUGACCCUCUGCGGAUCGAGAGCUGAGAGCUUCCUCCCCACCGGCCCUUCCCCGGCACUGGCUCCACAUCUCCAGGAGUAGCAGCAUCGGAGUCUACUGAGCAGAGCCGAUCUCCCUCUGCCUGGCUUUCGGAAACUGAGGUCCCUACCUCCUGCGGCUGGACUCAUCUCCAAGCUUCAGUGUCUCUCUCCCGUCCUGUUCAUCAGCCUGGCUCUCGCUACCCUCACCUCAGAGCAGGCAGGGUCUCAAUAGGGUGAGCUGCUCAGGGGGCAUCUCCACUCUUGCCAGGCAAUCAUCUCUCUUGCAGCCCCUCCCCUGCUGCCGACUGUUCUUCAGGGAGAAGGCUCGCUGGCAGGGUGGCAGGCUGCCCACCAAUGGGGGCCAUGCCAAGUGUGAUGUGAUGUGUGCUGAUCCCUCUCCAUGCCUUGCCGAAGACCAGGGCUGAUGCACCCGCAGGCUGGGGAGCCUGGGCUGUUCUCUCAUCAUCACCCUGGGGGGGAGGAUGUCACAGUGAAUAGAGGGCUCCCUUGUGUUAUAGGUGGAAAGGCCAUUCCGAAAGUCUCUCCUAGACCCCUUAUGUCUGGUCUUGUGCCCCCAGUUUAUGGGGGCUCUGAGCACUAUUCAGGGUGUCAUAUUAGUUGUAACCCCAGUGGGAAUGGAGGGGCCGUGAGUGGCAGAACCUCCCACCCCAGCAUACUAAAGAUAUUUUCCUGUAUCCCCUGCCUAACUCUGUCUGUUGAAGUCUCAGGCUCCAGGAGAGAGCGUGAGGGGUUUGAGGGACAGAAGGAGAAACGGGCAGUGUUAAGCACAGCACCAGUACAGUUUGAAGAGUUCCUUUCUGUUCCCUUUCUGACAGGCCUGUCUGUGACGGGCUGUGCCAGGCAAGAGGAAGGCUGAGGACCUGGGGUAGCCCAUCAUUCUCAGAUAUAAUAAAUUCUUGAGAUUAUCAUGCA
rnacentral:sRNA from 1 species